rnacentral:lncRNA from 1 species
AAGCAAAUAAAAGUUUAUAUUACAACAUCAUUUAACUGCCUGAAAUAAACAUAAUGGUCAAUCUCUUCCAAUUACAGUGACAUAUUAAUAUCUUACCUCCCUUGAGGAGAAAAGAACGGAUUAGGCUAAUCUUUUAAGGGGCUGAAGUAUUUUAUGUCUUUGCAAAGUCUUUCUGCAUCUAUAAACACAUUAAAGAAAUAAAGAAAACAGCGACACAUAGUGGCCAAUUUUGUUUCCUACAGCUCAAAAUUCAGGAUUUGCAGAGAUGCCCUCUUCCAUUGAUUUCAAAAGCUACUUGGGGAUCAAAUGAGGUAGAAAUCCCGUGAUAUAAAAGUGAUGAC